GGGUUCACUUGUUCUUUCUCAAGUUUAGGUUUAGCCAGUGCAGGACAACAGUAGGGAAGUGAAAGGAGGGGGAGUGAGGUGAGGGAGAGUGGACUCCUCUGCUUUCUUUCUUCAGGGUGGCCUUGAACUGGCCCUGACUCUCAAAGGAAGACUGUAGCACGUCUCAAGGCGGCCCACUUCACACAGCUCUCUCUCCCCCCAGGUUCCAGGAAUUCUCUUUUUUCUUCUCCCUUCAAAAACAAGGGGUUUGGGGGCGGGGAUUUAGCUCAGUGGUUCUGCCUCCUGCCUUGCAAGGGCAAUGUCCUGAGUUCUAUUCCCAGUACCAAAAAAAAAAAAAAAGGAGGGUAGAGUUAUUGCAACACUGCUGUACUCCCAUUUAUGGUUUCCUUGUUCUGCACAGACCUUCAUACAUCCUUUCAUUAAGCUGUCUUUGCACAACCCAGUUUCAGAGAACUAUGUGCUCCCUUCUGGGACCUUGAAUAAUGCAAGUAUAAAAUGCUUUGAGCAAUGAGCGAGUGAGCACUGUCUGAUAGCCAAAGUACAAGAGAGAAGCGAAGAAGACCUGAGCUGCACAGGAAGCAGUGGAGAUGGAAGAGAGGGCCAGUGAAUAAAGCAUCACAGAAGAGGAGCAACCAGACCGGAGAACUACUGGCUCUCCCUUUAUACUUCUGCCUCUUUUUCAGCAUCCAUGACGACCAAACUUAAUCCCAGUGCUUAGCAUUAAAAAUAACUACCUUUAAAUCCUUAAUAGGGAGAUGUGUUCUGUUGCCUCUAAAGACCCUUUAAUUCUUUCAACCCAGAGUGGCAGAAUGCUGGUGACAAAGGCAUCAGGUCACCAACUACCACAUCAGCUCCCUUCCCAGCUUGGAGAUCAAUUGCCCUUUUCUUCGCCACUCUUCUGGACCAAAUUAGCAAGAUCCAACAGGUAGCUUAAGAAGAGGAGAAGCACAACUGGGGAAAACCUAGACAAUCUGCAGCUCACUAAAGGAUGCGGUUUUGGCUUUGAUACCAAAAUAUCUGUCCCUAUCCUCACCCAAAUAUCUUCUCAGUCAGGUAAGAUUAGAGUGAGGAGCCUUGUGCUUUUUCCAUUUGUUGAUAAG
rnacentral:lncRNA from 1 species